GUCAUCUGUAUAACAAAAGAACAGGGGUAACAGUAGCUGCCGAUCUACAUGGUGACAGUAGCUGGUUACAUGUACACCGUCCGAUUCGGCGGGCUCAUCCGAUCAGAGACGUUCGUGCCCCCAUCCUCCCCCAGUAGCCAGAAGCUACUCUCGAACCCUAAUCCCUCUCCUCUUCCCACGAGGAGCCGCCGCCGCCGCCACCGCCACCGUCUUCCCCUCGAGCUCGUGAAGCCGGAGCCGCCGCCUUCUUCUCAAGCUCGCGGAGCCAGCCGUCGCCGCCGCCGUGCGGAGCCAGUGGUUACCGUCGCUGUCUUCCCAUCGACUUCUUGCGAGUCCGGUGUCCCACUGUCGCCGCCAUUUCCGUCUCCUUCCCCAUCCCACGCAGACUUUGGUUCUUGCAAGAUCUGUGCCCGCAUCGAGCCCCCACAAGCACGCGGUAAUCAGAAGGUGAAGCUCGACGUGGGCCUGCAGAUAUUUUUGGAAGCACAAACGAAAGGAUCACGUAUGUAUGUCAUGUUUGCUGAUUACUACCUUUCCCUGCAAAUACACAUACACCACUUGGAUGUAGAUACACAUUCUGUCUUGCUUAACAUGUUAAUUAACUUGAUUGAGUAA
rnacentral:lncRNA from 1 species